CCUACGGGGUGCAGCAGUGGGGAAUAUUGCACAAUGGGGGAAACCCUGAUGCAGCGACGCCGCGUGAGUGAAGAAGUAAUUCGUUACGUAAAGCUCUAUCAGCAGGGAAGAAACACUUACCUUACGGUCAGCAGACGGUACCUGAGUAAGAAGCCCCGGCUAACUACGUGUCAGCAGCCGCGGUAAUACGUAGGGGGCAUGCGUUAUCCGGAUUUACUGGGUGUAAAGGGGGCGUAGACGGUGCGCCAAGUCUGGAGUGAAAUGCCGCAGCUUAACUGCGGAACUGCUUUGGAAACCGGCGAACUAGAGUGCGGGAGGGGUAAGCGGAAUGCCUAGUGUAGCGGUGAAAUGCGUAGAUAUUAGGAGGAACACCGGUGGCGAAGGCGGCUUACUGGACCGUAACUGACGUUGAGGCUCGAAAGCGUGGGGAGCAAACAGGAUUAGAUACCCGGGUAGUC
rnacentral:rRNA from 1 species